GACGAACGCUGGCGGCGUGCUUAACACAUGCAAGUCGAACGGAAAGGCCCUGCUUUUGUGGGGUGCUCGAGUGGCGAACGGGUGAGUAACACGUGAGUAACCUGCCCUUGACUUUGGGAUAACUUCAGGAAACUGGGGCUAAUACCGGAUAGGAGCUCCUGCUGCAUGGUGGGGGUUGGAAAGCUUCGGCGGUUGGGGAUGGACUCGCGGCUUAUCAGCUUGUUGGUGGGGUAGUGGCUUACCAAGGCUUUGACGGGUAGCCGGCCUGAGAGGGUGACCGGCCACAUUGGGACUGAGAUACGGCCCAGACUCCUACGGGAGGCAGCAGUGGGAAAUAUUGCACAAUGGGCGGAAGCCUGAUGCAGCAACGCCGCGUGCGGGAUGACGGCCUUCGGGUUGUAAACCGCUUUCGCCUGUGACGAAGCGUGAGUGACGGUAAUGGGUAAAGAAGCACCGGCUAACUACGUG
rnacentral:rRNA from 1 species